GGGGCUGAUAUAGCUUUCGACAAUUGGACCUUAUCCAGGACAUUCUGCAAGCCGACGAUACGCGUAACGUAUAGAUUUUAGAUGCAAGAAAAUCUUUGCAAAAGCAAAGUCGUUGCAGCAAGCGCUGAUUCGCUCCAAAGAUGGCUCACCCAGUCGCAACCGCAGCGUAAUUUUCUAGAGACCAUCCUAGCAGCGCAGGCAACAGCCAAUGUGGAAGGGUGUCAUAUAUAUGUUGCUAGCUGCGACGCCCGGAAGCAGCAGACACACGGGACUUUUUCCACGUAACGAAACUCGGUUUUUUCGACUCAUUUUUAAGCCAAGUGACGUUAUAAAAUUAAAUUGAAAUAAGACUACGCUCGCAGACGAAAUAUCAGGAUACCAGUUGGACCCGGGGGCAGUACCCGGCAGCUCCACCA
rnacentral:tmRNA from 1 species